CCCAGACUCCUACGGGAGGCAGCAGUGGGGGAUAUUGCACAAUGGGGGAAACCCUGAUGCAGCGACGCCGCGUGAGUGAAGAAGUAUUUCGGUAUGUAAAGCUCUAUCAGCAGGGAAGAAAAAAGACGGUACCUGACUAAGAAGCCCCGGCUAACUACGUGCCAGCAGCCGCGGUAAUACGUAGGGGGCAAGCGUUAUCCGGAUUUACUGGGUGUAAAGGGAGCGUAGACGGCAAUACAAGUCGGAAGUGAAAUACCCGGGCUUAACCUGGGAACUGCUUUGGAAACUGUAUGGCUGGAGUGCUGGAGAGGUAAGCGGAAUUCCUAGUGUAGCGGUGAAAUGCGUAGAUAUUAGGAGGAACACCAGUGGCGAAGGCGGCUUACUGGACAGUAACUGACGUUGAGGCUCGAAAGCGUGGGGAGCAAACAGGAUUAGAUACCCCAGUA
rnacentral:rRNA from 1 species